UUCUUUCAAUCGCAUUACCUAUAUGUCGACAUUUCAUGUCCAUUAUUGUGAAACCCGCGAGACAACAAAAACACCGCUCCGAUCACAGUGUCCUCCAUCCUCCUGUUGUUAACGUUGUUCUUUGUUUCCAUUGUUGAACGCCGCGCACAAAUGACGUCACUGUGUGUCGACCGUCUUACGUACACUGUCUGUGCGAAUGCAACCCUUUAAAUGGUACUGGGAAAUAGUUCGCG